UCCGAUUGAUUUUCGAAGGGCUUUAGCUUGAUAUUUUCCUCCAUCUUCCUAUUGUUUUUGAAGAGGUUUACCCAUGGAGCUUUAGUGUCUUCCACACCCUCAAUCCACCGUUUUCCUCUUUUUGGUUCUUUAAUUCAUCCGUAUUUGACUGAAAUUUAGAACUUUCAGAUUCCGUAUCCUCGCCUCCAAGUGUUUGGGACACACUUGGAUACUCACAAGUUGCCUUAUGAAGUACCUUCGAAAGGGGGAUUAUCUCCUUAGACAUGGAGGAAUCACAAGAGGCCUGCGACAAUUCAUUAACUGGUCCAGCAGAAUUUUUCCAGGAAUUA
rnacentral:lncRNA from 1 species